CCCAUGGCGCCCCAUUCUGCGACCUCUGUCUUGGAAUUCUAGGAAAAGGAGAGGCUCCCAUGAGGGAUAUGGAGGGGAGAGAUGCUGCAGGAGACCAGGAGAAACUAGGGGAUGGCCAAUGAUGAAGAGCUAUUCCCCUUGGGAUCUGAGACCCUGGGAGUAGAUUCUUGACUGCAAGGUGGCGAUAUCUAUUCAUGCCACCUCAUCCUUUGCCCUCUUUGAAGACCUUCUCCAUUCAUCUAGUACAAAAUGCCAAACCUGCUUGCUUACUAACCUGAAUGAAAAUCUACAUCGGCCUCACCAUCCCCACCCUGCAACUUUCCCUGUGGCCGACCCCCUCUGAGUGGCUGACUCCCAAGCCUGGAAGACACGAUUCUACACGAGUCAGAGAACACUGAGCUGGUUCCUAGACCGGAUGCAGCACAAA
rnacentral:lncRNA from 1 species